rnacentral:misc_RNA from 1 species
CAGUCGCCUGCCGACUCUGCUUGUGCUUGUGUGACUCGCGCCGCUCUGUGCACCGCACUCGUGUCCCGAUCACGACGCGUGCCGCCCCGCUGUGGCCGCGAACCGCGACCUUCUACGCUACCAACGAUAUACUUCUCCUAACUUACGUGCAUCUUAAUAUGAUUUGACUUUGGACAUUUUAUAAGCUCCCUUUACCCGGCUUGUUUUACCCCUCAUCAUAGUUGAGCCCCGCACCGCACCGGCUUGCUCGCUGACCGCCGAGCCGCUAAUCUAGCUUUUUUCGCGCCCCACCGUCGCCAGCCCAGACCCACACCGGCCGCCGCAAUGCUCGCGCACCAAGCACAGCUCGCCCUCUACUAAACUCAUCAGUCAAUAUCUAUAAAAACGCGUGUGAUAACAAUAAUUUAAUACUCGCCUCUAUAAGCUUGCAACGUCGGUGUCUUUAAUUCUAACUUAAUUGUAAGGAUUAAUCAAUUAGUUAGUAACUAUCAUCGUAUCCGCGCGUCUCCCGCUGCGGAAGUAUAUUUCUCGCGUGUGCAGUAGUGUGUGAUAGUGAGGGUGCGCGAGAGCCUCCAGUGGCCAAGAGUAGUUUGCGACAAACCAGUGUGAGAAGUGCAUGCAAAGAGCGCGCCGUCGCGCUCGCCCGCUGUCACUGCCUAUGCGCCGCACUCGCACUGCGUAAAAGUGCGCGCGAAAACCGCCUCCUUUGAAGACAUAGCCAACAAUGGCCACCAUGGUGAACAUGAACAGCUUGCUGAACGGCAAGGACUCCCGCUGGUUACAACUCGAAGUAUGCAGGGAGUUCCAGCGGAAUAAGUGCUCGCGACCAGAUACUGAAUGCAAAUUUGCGCAUCCCCCGGCUACCGUCGAGGUGCAGAAUGGAAGAGUCACCGCCUGCUACGACAGUAUCAAGGGACGGUGUAACCGCGAGAAGCCACCCUGCAAAUACUUCCAUCCGCCACAACACCUGAAGGAUCAGCUGUUGAUCAACGGCAGGAAUCAUCUAGCCCUGAAGAACGCACUAAUGCAGCAAAUGGGUCUGACACCCGGGCAAGUGUUGCCCGGUCAGGUGCCCGCCGUGGCGACGUCACCUUAUUUGUCGGGGGUGCCGGGCGUGGGAUCGACGUACGCACAGUACUAUGCACCUCAGCUGGUGCCCGCAAUGUUGGGUCACGAUCCGGCAGCCGCCGCCGCCUCGCCACUCGGUGUCAUGCAGCAACCCGUGCUGCAACAGAAAUUGCCUCGUACCGAUCGUCUCGAGAUGGACAUGAAGAGCGUCGGUUCCUUCUAUUAUGAUAACUUUGCCUUCCCCGGCGUGGUGCCGUACAAGCGACCGGCUGCCGACAAAGCUGGUGUACCAGUGUAUCAGCCGGCGACAACCUACCAGCAACUGAUGCAGCUCCAGCAGCCGUUCGUGCCCGUGUCAUUUACUGGACACCCUCCCGGUGUGCCAAGAUUUUAAUCGGCAAGGAUGUUCAAGACCUACCUGCAGAUUCGUUCAUAUUCGCGAAGGGUGCGGGCUGCAGGUGGUGGGGUGCCGCGUGGUGGUGUGUCGCGAUGCCGCCGCCGGCACGUGCCGCCGCGCCGCCUGCCGCUACUACCACAUCCCCGUUCAAUUGCCACC